rnacentral:lncRNA from 1 species
AAAAGGAGAGAUAACAUAUAAACAUAACAUAAUAGUCAAUUUCAGUGCAUUAGUAAAAGUGCAGAAGGCAAGAAUAUUUUUUGAAUGAAGAUAGGAUUUUCAGAGGCCUCGGGAGCAUAGUAGUCAUCAUUUGUUCAUUAACUUGGAGCUUCAAGGCAUGCGGAGAACUGACUAGUAGGGUUUUUCAGAAUCUGGAUAAAAUAAAUCUCAUAAUCCUAGAAUUACAUCCAA